CAGCAGCCGCGGGAAUACAGGGGAUGCAAGCGUUAUCCGGAAUGAUUGGGCAUAAAGUGUCUGUAGGUGGCUUUUCAAGUCCGCCGUCAAAUCCCAGGGCUCAACCUUGGACAGGCGGUGGAAACUACCAAGCUGGAGGACGGUAGGGGCAGAGGGAAUUUCCGGUGGAGCGAUGAAAUGCGUUGAGAUCGGAAAGAACACCAACAGCGAAAGCACUCUGUUGGGCCGACACUGACACUAAGAGACGAAAGUUAGGGGAGCAAAUGGGAUUAGAGACCCGCGUAGUCCCUGUCUCUUAUAA
rnacentral:rRNA from 1 species